GAUGAACGCUGGCGGCGUGCCUAAUACAUGCAAGUCGAGCGGCAGCGCGGUCUUCGGACUGGCGGCGAGCGGCGGACGGCUGAGUAACACGUAGGAACGUACCCCAAAGUGAGGGAUAAGCACCAGAAAUGGUGUCUAAUACCGCAUGUGCUCUAAGGAGUAAAGCUUUAUGCGCUCUGGGAACGGCCUGCGUCCGAUUAGCUAGUUGGCGGUUUAAUAGACCACCAAGGCGACGAUCGGUAGCUGGUCUGUGAGGAUGAUCAGCCAGACUGGGACUGAGACACGGCCCAGACUCCUACGGGAGGCAGCAGUAGGGAAUUUUCCACAAUGGGCGAAAGCCUGAUGGAGCAACGCCGCGUGCAGGAUGAAUGCCUUCGGGUUGUAAACUGCUUUUAUUGGUGACGAUUAUGACGGUAGCAGAUGAAUAAGGAUCGGCUAACUCCGUGCCAGCAGCCGCCGUAA
rnacentral:rRNA from 1 species